CAUCGCUGUUGUUUACAUUUGACGAGAUGCUAACGCUAAUGCUGCACUGACCCUCCUACUGAACGCCCGAAAUGAACAGCAGCGGGCCUGCUGCUAUGAUUUUCACAUCAUAGCUGGGGACUUUAAUCACACAAAUCUAAAGACUGCGCUCUCAAAGAUCAAUCAAAUUGUCAAAAUUGCCCAAGCAGUCAUCCCCAACUGUCUGAAAUCGUCUGUAAUCAUUCCAAUUGCGAAAAAGACACCCACGAACAGUCUUAAUGAUUAGCGACCUGUUGCCCUCGUGCCUGUCAUUAUGAAGUGCUUUGAGGCUGAUUCUGAAGCACAUCACUGAAUGUUUCCCUCAGAACCGAGACUCCCAUCAGUCCCAAUAGACCCACAGCGGAUACCAUCGCAAUGGACACUGUCCUGAGCCACCCGGAACAACAGUAGAGCUACGCCAGGAUGGUUCUUUGUGGAUUAAAUCACCAAACUAGGCAUCCUGGGCCUCCAUCCUUCAAACUGCAUCGAGGACUUUUUGACCAACAGACACCAGACUAUGACACAACAGUGGUUGGUCUUAUCUCAAGGGGAAACAUGGCAGACUGCAGGGAGGAGGUCCAGAAGUUGGACCUAGGAGAUCGUUGCGGAAUUUAAGAGGAACAGAACUGUAACAUCUCCCACUCACAUCAACGGCGAGAGAGUGGAGGAAGCACACACAUUCAGGUUCCAGGGAGUCCUGAUCUUUUAGGACCUUUCUUGGACAGAAAAGAUCUCGCCGGCCUUCGAGAAGGCGAGCAGUGUCUUCACUCCCCUUAGAAUCCUCCUGAAAAAUAAAAUGCAAU